UGGUGUAAUCAUGUAGUAGACCACAGAUAAGGAGGUUGCUUCUGACGUUAGCGGUGGACGGUGAUGUAACACGUGAGCACCUACCUUUAAGUGUUGAUAACUCCGGGAAACCGGGGCUAAUACCGAAUAAUCUUUUCACCUCAUGGUGAAAUAUUGAAAGACGGUUCUACGCUGUCGCUAUGGAUGGGCCCUGGCGCAUUAGCUACUCUGGGAGGUAACCGGCUCACCAAGGCGACAUCGGUAGACGACCUGAGAGGUGAUUGACCACUGGACUUUAACGGGCAAACUCUUACUGGAGGCAGAGCGGGAAUCUUCCAAUGGGCGAAAAUCCUGAUGAGCAACUCUUUGAGGAAAGAAGAUUCGGUCUUUAAACCUAUGUGUUAACGGGAACGACCUUGCCACGAACAAUGGUUUGUUACCGGCCUAUAGGAAACCCUGUUAUUCGGCCAAGGAUGGAUACCUUGGUGGGGAUUUGGGCCGGAUAUUGGCCCAAGGUUCCCCGUGGUUACCCUAAUGCAAUGCACGAAUCAGGGUCGACUGGGGGUUGGGAAUAAGGUCUUGGGGCAACCUGCAAAAUUUUUGGCUCCGGGGGUAUUUGUGUCCCCCUUUGG
rnacentral:rRNA from 1 species